CAAGAAUACUCCGGUAUAAUUAUUUAUAGCAGUUCAGCAUAGAUUGGGAAAUGUUCUUUUGUAUGUAUUGGUGAAAUAAUGAAGUUUCACUAAUGUGAGAACUUGCUGGAGGACUCUGCAGUUAGCUCCUUGCUGAGAAGGGCCCGGGUAGCUGUGGGCUGUGCAUCAGGAACCAAAAGCACAGGGCUCGCCCCAGCAGCCCUCUCCGUGGUUAUAUCAGCAGAGUGAGGCACAAAAGCCAGAUGCUCUGCUGAUGCAGAUGAGAGCAAUUCCUUCAAUGCUAACCAGCCAAAGCACUGGCUAUGGGUCUGCUUUGCAUUUUGCCACUUUCUGUUAUACCUAAUGGAGUCCGUUCUCCUAGUAAGGCUUGACAGGCACAGCGUUGUCCUGUUAGUUGCAUGACGUAUCAAAUAUAGAGGAAGUCAUUAUCUGGGGACGCUAAAGCUUGAAAAAAAAAGAGCACACCACCACGAAAGUAAUAUGGCAUGUGCCUCACUCAUCCUUGUUUUCAUUUAAAAGCAAAACAAAAUAAAACAACAAAACAGAACCCCAAAACAUUGUAAGAUAGAUUUAGAAAAGUUCAGGGUAGAUGAAGUUUGUGUCUGAACCUAUAAAACAAGAUUUUCUAAGUCUAUGAAGAACCUCAACUAAUGAGAAGUAAGAUGAAAACCAUCAGUGAUCUUCAGGCCCCUAGAUGCUGUUUUUCCUCCCAGGAUUAACCACUAAGGUGAUCAGAUAGGCAAUGAGUUGCACCUGCCUACAUUGGCUGGGGGAUAGCUCAGUGCAGGGCAAUAGACCAGACCUGCUUUUCCAUCUGAUGGGCAGCCAGGAGCACUAUAAAUGUUAUAGACACGCUAUCCCAGGCACUCAAGGUGAGAUUAUGCAUCCUGGCUCUUCUCCUGGUGCUGGAUGGAAGACUCAAGAGAACCAAAGCAGUGGAAAAUGCCACACUUUGAAGUUCAGUGACGCCAAAGCUGACUAGAUGCUGAGUGACUCGUCAAGCAGCGCCUUCAGUUAGAUACAAAGAAAUACUGGAGAAAGUACAAGUCACAAUAAUAAGUUGAUUAAUAAUUAUAAAAAGCUUUGAUACUCCCCCAGAGCUAGGCUGAUCCUUCGCAGAGUGAUUUAAAUAAAAUAAGUGGGAG
rnacentral:lncRNA from 1 species